rnacentral:lncRNA from 1 species
UGGACUAAGAUUUUUUUACAAAAUGUUAUUUAGAAAAUAAUAAAUAAUUUUAGAAAUUGUUACAAUAUUUUAGGGAUGAAAGAAAGUUAAAAAUUGUUAAAUAAUUAAAUUGCUAAAAUUGUUUAUGUGGUGAUAAAGUACCUAUUAAAAAUUAUUAAUCAAUUUUUAAGAUCUAAAAACAAAAAAGAAAAAAAGAACUAAUAAUUAUAAAUUNN